rnacentral:lncRNA from 1 species
CUUCGGGGUUGUACGAUGAUUGAAAAGGCACAAGUGUCACAAUUAUGCCCAUAAUACUCACAUGAGCUGUAUGACCCAUAUUCAAGUCAUGGAAACCUAAAACACCCUAUAAAUAUAUAAAUAAAUGGUGACAGCUGGAAACUCGGGGACAUCGAAUAAAAGAGAUUGUGGAGGACGACAAGAAGACGAAACCGAAGUUAUUUUGGAUGAGAAAAAUGUUUGGAGGCUUGAAGAUUAAAGAUUAAAGAUCUAACCUUUCGGUUAGCAGUUGUUUGCUGCUCGGGUUACUAGCUUUACUAUUUUCAUCUUUCUAAACUAUCCAAACAUGAUUUCUUUUCUGUUUAGUUUGUUUUUGUUAAUCACGUUCAGCUAAACAUCAAUAACUAUUCAGAUGCGAUGAUUCUUAUGAUGAUGUGAUUUAUGAAUGUUUGAUUUGUAUGUGAUGUCAUUUUAGUAAAGUAUAUUCUCGUUUAUCUUGUGAUGUUGGUUGAAUUGAUCUUUUAA